GAUGAACGCUGGCGGCGUGCCUAACACAUGCAAGUCGAGCGAUUCUCUUCGGAGAAGAGCGGCGGACGGGUGAGUAACGCGUGGGUGACCUGCCCUAUACACAUGGAUAACAUACCGAAAGGUAUGCUAAUACAGGAUAACAUAAGAGAUUCGCAUGGAUUUCUUAUCAAAGCUCCGGCGGUAUGGGAUGGACCCGCGUCUGAUUAGCUAGUGGUAAGGUAACGGCUUACCAAGGCGACGAUCAGUAGCCGACCUGAGAGGGUGAUCGGCAACAUUGGAACUGAGACACGGUCCAAACUCCUACGGGAGGCAGCAGUGGGGAAUAUUGCACAAUGGGCGAACGCCUGAUGCAGCAACGCCGCGUGAGUGAUGAAGGCCUUCGGGUCGUAAAACUCUGUCCUCAAGGAAGAUAAUGACGGUACUUGGGGAGGAAGCCCCGGCGAACUACGUGCCAGCAGCCGCCGCAGUAA
rnacentral:rRNA from 1 species